AAUGAACGUUGGCGGCGUGGAUUAGGCAUGCGAGUCGUGCGAGAACCGUAGCAAUACGGGGACAGCGGCGAAAGGGAGAGGAACACGUGGAUACCUACCCUCCAGGUUCAGGAUAGCUAUGGGAAACUAUAGGUAAUACUGAAUAAUAUCUCCGGAUCAAAGGUGUGAUUCCGCCGGAGGAGGGGUCCGCGUCCUAUUAGCUAGUUGGUGAGGUAAUGGCUCACCAAGGCGAAGAUGGGUACGGGAUGUGAGACAUGAUCCGCUCAUUGGGACUGAGACACUGCCCAGA
rnacentral:rRNA from 1 species